CAAACAAACAAACAAACAAACAAACAAAUUACACCUUUUUUUUCUAUUUUUUUUCUAUUUUUUUUCCAUUUUUUUUUUUUUUAUUUUUUUAUUUUUUUUACUUUUGACAGGACUCUAAUGGAAGAUUUAAAAACGCAAAGAUUUGUCUUUUAGGAUACUCUUUAGGAAGUGUAAUGGCCUAUGAAAUUUUACAUAAUAUAAAAGUACGUAUUAGUGAUAGUAAUAUAAAAUAUAAAUUGAAAAAUAAAAUAGAUUAUCUUUUUACUCUUGGUAGUCCAUUAAGUGCGUUAUUAUCAUUAUAUAAACCUGAAUAUAUAAAUGAUGGUUUAAAGUUAAUUGAAAAUAUAAAAUUUUAUAACAUUUUUCAUGGGUUCGAUCCGGUAUCAUUUCGAAUAGAACCUUUAAUUUACCCUAAGAUAAAAAAUAUUCCAGAACCUGUUUUAAUAAAUUAUUGGAGAAAUAAUGGAGUUAGAUAUUGGUUUGAAUGGGAUAAGAAUAUGCAAAAUGCUAAGCUAGCUAUUGUUCAAAAUUUAAAUGAUAUAACAUCUGCUAUUAGUAAUGGUAUAAGUAAAUUUUGGGGUCGAUCUAAAUCAAGUAAUGAAGACCAGGGUACAUUAAAUAAAAACAUAUGUUAUAAUAAAAGUGCGAGUAAAGAUAUAAACAAUUUUUUAAUGAAGGUAAAAGAAAAUCAACGAAAAAUGGCUUUACAAAAAAGAAAAAUGGAAAAAAAUAGAAAAAAAAAAAAAAAAAAAAAAUAUUUAUUAUUUUAUGAAAGUGCUCAAUGUGACAACUAUAAUCAUAAAAUAAAUGACAAUGGUGAGAACAAUCAAAACGGUAAAAAAAACAAAGACUAUCAAAAUGAAUUAUUAUUAUUAUCAAAAGAUGUAGAAAAAAACGAUAAUAUAAAGCAUUAUUAUGAAAUGUCAAAUAGGGAUCAUAUGUAUGAUAACAACAUAAGUAGGCACCUAUAUAAUAACAACACAAAUGAUACUAACAAUAACAAAAACAUUGAUGAAAUUGAUAGUGAUGAUUUUUCUAAAAGUAAUUCCAGUUAUGCUGAUAGUACAAGAAGUGUUUUGGCAUCUCAAGGUUCGAAUAGCGAGAUCUCUUCUAUUAAUAACAAUUUGACUGACUAUUCAAGUGGAUCACUUAGUAAUGGAGAAAAACAACAACACCAACAUGAACAUGAACAUGAAAAUGGACAUGAAAAUGGACAUGAAAAUGGACAUGAAAGUGAACAUGGACAUGAACAUGGACAUGGACAUGGACAUGAACAUGAACAAACAUAUGAUUCUAUACCAAUUAGAUAUGAUUACCAAUUACAAGAAUUCAUUAUAGAACAUUAUAUUUAUCCUUUGGCAAUUCUAAAAUCGCAUUUUAAUUAUUUUAUUAUUAAAGACAUAUCACUUUUCAUAUUAAAAACCUUAUUAAAUAAAACAGCACCUAUAAGUUAUGAAGAUUAUUUGUCAAGUAUUGAUAAAGAAUAUAGUACUAAAUCUUUAAAUGAAAAGGAUAAUACAAAAAAAGAAGCGUAUUUAGAAAUAUCAUCUAAAGCUUGUAAAACAUUGGAAGAAUUUCAUAAGCAAGAGAAAAAUGUACAACUGAUGUCAGACCCUUUUAACAUGAAAAAUUUUAAAAAAUUGAUUUGAC
ensembl:lncRNA